CACCACUCAAGCCUCGCUUGGUAUUGGGGCACUGCUCUCGCCCGAGAGCAGGCCCUGAAAUCUAGUGGCGAGCUCGCCAGGACCCCGAGCGCAGUAGUUAAACCCUCGCUCUGGAAGGCCCUGGCGGUGCCCUGCCGUUAAACCCCCAACUCUUGAAA
rnacentral:misc_RNA from 1 species